GAUGAACGCUGGCGGCGUGCCUAACACAUGCAAGUCGAACGAAGCACUCUAUUUGAUUUCCUUCGGGACUGAUUAUUUUGUGACUGAGUGGCGGACGGGUGAGUAACGCGUGGGUAACCUGCCUUGUACCGGGGGAUAAUAGUCGGAAACGGCUGCUAAUACCGCAUAAGCGCCCGGCGUUGCAUGAUGCAGUGUGUAAAACUCCGGCGGUAUAAGAUGGACCCGCGUUGGAUUAGCUAGUUGGUGAGGUAACGGCCCACCAAGGCGACGAUCCAUAGCCGACCUGAGAGGAUGACCGGCCACAUUGGGACUGAGACACGGCCCAAACUCCUACGGGAGGCAGCAGUGGGGAAUAUUGCACAAUGGGCGAAAGCCUGAUGCAGCGACGCCGCGUGAGCGAAGAAGUAUUUCGGGAUGUAAAGCUCUAUCAGCAGGGAAGAUAAUGACGGUACCGGACGAAGAAGCACCGGCUAAAUACGUG
rnacentral:rRNA from 1 species